rnacentral:rRNA from 1 species
CCGCGACGGGUGAGUAACACGUAUCCAACCUGCCGUCUACUCUUGGACAGCCUUCUGAAAGGAAGAUUAAUACAAGAUGGCAUCAUGAGUCCGCAUGUUCACAUGAUUAAAGGUAUUCCGGUAGACGAUGGGGAUGCGUUCCAUUAGAUAGUAGGCGGGGUAACGGCCCACCUAGUCUUCGAUGGAUAGGGGUUCUGAGAGGAAGGUCCCCCACAUUGGAACUGAGACACGGUCCAA